GCUAUGACAGAAAUGAAGGAUGGCUAGUCUGGAUCACUCUCCAAAGUGAGGGCCGUAGGAGAGCUAACCAAUGGAAGAAUGGAGCCAGUUUCAUAAAGGGACAUUCCAAGCUUAGAUGGCCCCAAACACUGAGGCAAGUUCCAGGAAAAGAUGGUCACUGAGUUGGUGUGUGGGUCAGGUGGAUUUCCAAAAUACAAUAAAUAAAUACCUGUACUAGACUGCAAGCUCGUUGUAAUAGGUUUGAUGGAACUAGCUUAUCAUCUAUCAAGAGUAGCAUAUGAAGUACUUCAUCAUAGG